UGAAGCCUCUGAAUAUUUCCAUGGAGUUGGUACUGCCAGUUAUAGCAUCAUCCAGGCUGUCCCUUUCUCAUUUGCAGGCAUAGCACAGCACUGACUUGGAAAGAUGUCAGUGGUGGAGAAGCUGACUCCACCUGUCAAUGCCUGUCUCUGUGCACAGACAGGACUCCACAGCUCUGCACGUGCUAAGACCCAGUGUGGCGGAAGGAACUGCUGUUUGUUGUUUUUCUUCAGUAAAAUGGUGAAGGUACGCUCGAGCAUGGUCAUUGAGGACAAGUCGACGAGAGAUCCCGAGUACGUCUACAGUCAGCCUUACAGUGCGCUCGGACGAAGCUAGGGUGACAACGGGGCAAAUUAAAGGAAAACUAAAAAUAAAUACGCCUUU
rnacentral:lncRNA from 1 species